AUCGAGGAAUUCAAGACAUCACCUACCUUUGCUAAGGAGAUGGCUUGAGCAGUCGAGGCAUUUAAGGUGUCUGAAGAAUACAGCGAUAGCCAUGUAGCCUUCAGUGAAAAGAUUUUUCAUCAGUCUCACAAAGAAGGCUGGGUCGACUAUCGAAAGUUGAUAGAGGAGGAGCAUCUAGAGUUUGAUCUCGCCUUCUUGGACUAUGAAGAUGAA
rnacentral:lncRNA from 1 species